rnacentral:rRNA from 1 species
CAUGAAGCUGGAAUUGCUAGUAAUCACGGAUCAGCAUGCCGCGGUGAAUACGUUCCCGGGCCUUGUACACACCGCCCGUCACACCAUGAGAGUCGGGAACACCCGAAGUCCGUAGUCUAACCCGCAAGGGAGGGCGCGGCCGAAGGUGGGUCCGGUAAUUGGGGUGAAGUCGUAACAAGGUAUC